rnacentral:lncRNA from 1 species
GAGCCCCGCGCCGGGCCGGGGAGUCCCCGGCGCCACACGCCCCCACCACCCCCAUCUUAGCGCCCCCCACCCUCUAUGGAGACAUUUCAACCAGGGAGAAGGGAAGUCCUGCCCUUGCCCCUCGCCCCCGCCCUGCUCCUCCAACAGGGGAGACUUCUGUCCAAACCUUGGAAAGAAACGAGAUGCCAGGCCUAGCGCCUUCGGGGAUCCUCUCUGGACAAGGCCACAGGGUGAAAACACCAGCACUUCCUGGAGGCGUUUGACCGGGACCUGGGAGGGCAGCUGAGAAGUGCCUGACCAUUCUCAAGGAGCUGCGUGGAGCCGAACACACAAGCAGCACUUGAGGGCUCCGAGGGUGGCAAGGAGAGAAGUUCCUGCUCUGGUACAGCCCUGGGACCUUGAAAGGUGCUUCAACAGAGCGUCCACUCCCAGCGCCUAGCUCUGGGACCUUGAAUGGUGCUUUAACAGAGCGUCUGCUCCCAGCGCCAAGCCCUCAGUGCAGAGGGGGAGACUCAGGCGGCCCUCAGACACAAUUCGCCAAGGUCGCACAGCAAGUCAGGGUGCCGCUAAGACUAGGACCUACAGCUCUGCCUCCUGGCCCAGGCUCCUCAGCACCUGGGCCCCAGAGGACAGCCUGUGGGAGGCCCACAUGGCCACUGCACCAUGAACCAAGGACCUGGUCCGGGUCCACCUCCACCAAGUGCUGGCCGUGUGUCACUGGGGUCACUCCACUCUCUGCAUUAGGUCUCAGUCAUCCAAGACCAUCUUUCAAGGGCCGUCACUCCAAUUAUGAGUCUGGGAUUUUCUGAAAUUGAGCAUUUUGGCCAGGCUGUGGGGUCCCUCUAUGACUGCCUGUAAGACACUGCCAAGGGGACUUUCUUCCUUUCACCAGACUGAAGCUAAGAAGUGCUGGAGACAGCAGUUGCUUUAGCCACAGGCUGUGUAGACCACCUGAGGAUGACCUGGGGGUCUGUUUUGUGCACCUUGGAACCCAUCGGAUCCCUCCAAUGACACAUUUGUCCAGAGCAAGACAAGAUCACACUUUGACAGCCCUCUGUCAAGAUCCUUGCUCCAAAUCUCCAGACUAGCAGCCAGGAGUCUCCAUGCUGUUCUGAAGAAGCAGAUUCCUCACCCACCCUUCAACUCCUUCCCAGGAGGUAAUCCUCCUCCAAAUCUCUGGAAAAGAUACACCUCCUCUUCUCUGAUAAAGGCUGGGGGGUGAUGCCCCUCCCCCAGUUUCCCAAUAAAGCUAUGCAAGACAGGAGCAAGGGA